CCAGUUAGUUUGGACGCGGCAGUCCAGAGAGGAGGACGCCUCUAUCUCCUCUUAUAUCUUUGUUUUUUACAUGUAUGUACCCUUGUGAUUCAUGGCAGUGCUUGCUCUGGUCUGAUAUUAUUUUUAGCAGUGUAAUGGUCCAGCUUUUCUGAGGUUCCAUCCAUAUGUCAGAGUUUUGUACAACAGUGAGGCCACCGAGUGCCUAAAGUCCGCCCAUGGUGUGUAGUAGAUAGGCCAGCCAGCUUUGGAACCUAGAGUCCAUCCUCCAGCCUGUGAGGUGGAAAAGCCAGCGGCGAGACGGGAAAUUACGACAAACAACAAUAAUGACAUUUGUAUAUAGUAUCAUCAGUAAUUAAACAUGUAAAUUGUAAACAAAA